CCACAGCACAACAAAACAACUGUCACGCUGCUUCAAUGUUUAAUCCCUCUUUCAGGUAAACUGAGGCAGGAUCUUUGCAUUAGAGACGUGGAAAUUGACAUUGUUCGAUCACUAGUUCCUCGAAGUUAAGAGCUUCUUUCUGUUUCUUACACUGGAGAUUAAGAAUGAUAAGUGUCUGAUCGCUGCGUCACCUAAAAAAACCAUUUUCAGGGAAGAACAUAUCCAAAUAGCACAAGGUUGAUCUAAAAAAAUAAGCUUCCUGAAGUGACAUUUCUGAGACUGUUCCACUUUAUGGCCACUUUAUGGAAGGAAAUCUGCUGCCCUUACCUGGCCUGGCCUGGCCUUUACAUCAUUCACGACCCAUGGUGGAGGCCAAUCAGAGUGGAGCAGAUGCUGGAUCGGUUGUGGAAGUGUGUCUGAUAGAGUGGAUGAGCUGACGAGGAGGAGAUCUAACUCAGGUGGCCUGGAUGCAGUCCAAACAAUCAAUUGGAAUAUGGCGGGAUCAAACAACCAUGGCAGUUAAUCCAGGAAUCAAGACUCAAGGACCUGGAACAGAGCUUCAUAAAGUUUAAUGAUCACAUAUAAGUGGUCAUGGUCAGUAAUACAUCAAAUGCAAUAACUCACCCAUCGGACUAGCGGCUUCACACAUUGUUUGAUGCACUGCACCUUCAUUACUCACCAAGUAACAAUAUUUAUUAAGCAAAACUGACACCUAAUAUUCAGUGCCUCAUCUCACCUUCACAUGCUCAACAGUGCUCCUCGCCUCACAGCCAUAACUCACAGUUUUCACAGCUUUUCAGCUUUAAUAACCACAUCACCCAAAAAUAUUGUAACACUCUCACUUCACUGACACUUGCCUCUCGCUUGCAGGAUGUGGUGGAACAUAAUUCAAGGCAGUAGUACCCAAUCAUUAGGGGACAGGCAAGGUUACAUUUCCUUGCCUUGAUGGAGAACAUGCUAGCCACCAUUAGAUUCGGCAAUGACUGAGCAACUAAUCCGUCUUCUCAUCUCCUGUCCCCAGCUUCCCGUAAUCUAUUCUGAUUUACAAGCUACAGAUGGUUUAACAUGCACCUCUUGCUUUACCCCGCAUUGCAACACAAACCUCAUGCUUUGGUUUUUCAGAUCCACAAGCACUGCCACCUGGUCAAGCAUUGGUCUAGGAGCACGACGUCCAAAGGAGUGAGAUACUGAGUAUGAAAAGACCGCAACACUCAAUCCCACACUUGCAGCAGCCACCAGUUCAGAUAUUGCCACCAAAUAGGCUUCAGAAGGUAGUACACAGGUGGGAUCUGCACAUAGUCACCAGAUCACCAGAUAGAUAUAGCCCACCACAAGGACAAAGGGAAAGGGUAACACAGUUGCCAUCUCCUUGGAGGUUAUUUCAGUUGUAGAGGUUUCAAAGAGGCAGUGUUUGGAAAAGGCCAUGCAUGCGGAACGAAAUGCUGAGUGGACUGACAAACUUGCCGAAAGACUUACUGUCACUGUCCAGGAGUAUAGCCAAGUCUGACUCCAUUUGGAACAGAGGUUUAUGCAGAGCUUGCAGUCCAUCCUUUCCAGUAUCGAAGUGAUGACCAAGUUGAUGAGAAUGCUUAUGGAUCCAGCCAUUAUGUAGCACCUGUGACCAAAGUCUCAAAACUCCGAUUGUGGCAUGAACAGAAAGACCAGAUAUCUGAGUUUUGCAGGAAACCUCAGACUAAAAUCAUGCAAAUUUAGCCUGUCGCAAAGCAUGCUUAGACUUCUGAUAUCAAUGCUGUUGAUAUCAAUGCUUAAAGUGGUCUACUUUCAAAGCUGUCCAAUAGUUUGUCAUUGUAAAGACCACAUCUUAUUAUAUUUAUUGUCAAUUAUGGAGUGAAAUGGGAAAAGGGACUGUUUUACAACAAAGAACUGAGGAAGAAAUUGCCCCACUUUUAUGACCUUUUUACUGAAACUCAUUGAAUGCCCUGCCUCCACAGUUGCUUUGCAAACAAUAGGGAAAGGUGUAAAAGGAGACAAAAGAACAUUGAACAAGAGCCAGUGCUGCUAUGUAAAUACAAUCAUUGCAUAUUUUAUCUCAACCUCAACUCCACUUGACUUCCUGCUCCCCAUAAUCCUUUAACUCAUUACUAACUAAAUAAUUGUCUAUCUCCUCCUUAAAUUUAUUCAGUAUCUGGUGUCUGCUGCACUCUGGGGUAGUGAAUUCCAUGGAUUCAUGGCCCUCUGUUUUAAAUCUGCCACCCCUUACCCUAAAACUAUCAUCUCUUAUUCUAGAUUGCCCCAGAACGGGCCACGUCUACUUUAUCAAUCCCCUCUGGCAACUUAUAUUCCUCAAUUAGAUCUCUUCUCAUUCUUAUAAACUAUAUAGUAUAGGUCUAAACUGCUCAAUCUCUCCUCACAAAACAAGCCUUUCAUCUCUGAAAAUCAUCCAGUAAUCCUUCUCUGAACUGCCUUCAAUGCAAAUACAUUCUUCCAUAAAUAAAAUAACCAAAACUGCUCAAUACUCCAGAUACGAUACUCCAUAGUACUGCACUCCAAUGAUAAGGUCUGUUGCAGAGAUCUCUUCUCCAGCUUCUGCUUCCAUCUGUUUGAGCAGAUCUGUGCUGCCUCUGCUCAAUCCUCCUCUGAUACUGCAGCAUAAAGAUGUGGAGAUGCCGGUGUUGGACUUGGGUGGACGAAGGUUAAAAGCCCAACACCUGACAAAGGAACAGUGCUCCAAAAGCUUGUGAUUUCAGAUAAACCUGUUGGGCUAUAACUUAGUGUUUUGUGACUUCUGAGUUUGACAGCAUAAAGAAGCUGCUAACUUAGCACCCAUGUCUAGGAGCAAGUGGUUUAAUGAGAAGCCUUGCAGUUAGAAUCGAGACCUCUUCAUGUUUAUCACCACUCCUUUGACAUUGUCAACUUAACCCAACUCUGAAGACCAGCCAGUACAUUUACAAACACACACUGAACCAAUGGAUAUUAAUCAGCAAUUAAUCCAAGAGUAGUUGAUGUUCUCUUUUAAAAGCAGUGGUGAGAAUCUGUUUCCUGUUGCUGAAGACGUGUUCAGAUGUACACGUUUAAGAGAUAUCAGUCAAACUAGAGAGUCCUUAAUGGAAACCUUGGAAAAUUGCUUGGCCAUCACAAUCUGCAUAUUUGCCUACUUCUGACCCAUACUUCUUAUGGUCAUGACCUCACCAAAAAAAAUCUGCAACACACUGGAGCAGAAUAUCCACAUAUGAUGCUUGUUGUACAGGGCAAUGGUUCUGGAAGAAUUAAUGUUGAAAUUGUAUUAGCUCUAUCCAACCUGAUGAUGUCACACAAUCUUUGGGUGGAGUAAGAGUUGAUUUUGUACAAAGUCAAGUGGAGACAGGCAUGGCAUACAUUGUAAAACAUUAUUCCUAACUGAUUGAUCUUAAUUGUACCUGUUGCGACUGUGCAAUAAAGUAUACCUUGUUAUGUAAG